rnacentral:sRNA from 1 species
AUGGCUGUCGUCAGCUCGUGUCGUGAGAUGUUGGGUUAAGUCCCGCAACGAGCGCAACCCUUGUCCUUAGUUGCCAUCAUUCAGUUGGGAACUCUAAGGAGACCGCCGGUGACAAACCGGAGGAAGGUGGGGAUGACGUCAAGUCAUCAUGGCCUUUAUGGCCAGGGCUACACACGUGCUGCAAUGGCAGGUACAGAGGGUCGCCAACUCGCAAGAGGGAGCCAAUCCCAGAAAUCCUGUCGUAGUCCGGAUCGGAGUCUGCAACUCGACUCUGUGAAGUUGGAAUCGCUAGUAAUCGCAGAUCAGCAUUGCUGCGGUGAAUACGUUCCCGGGUCUUGUACACACCGCCCGUCACACCAUGGGAGUUUACUGCACCAGAAGCAGGUAGCCUAACCGCAAGGAUGGCGCCUACCACGGUGUGGUCGAUGACUGGGGUGAAGUCGUAACAAGGUAGCCGUACGGGAACGUGCGGCUGGAUCACCUCCUUUAAGAGACCGCAGCCAAUAGACAAGUUGGCGCGAGCCCCCUCACAAGUUACCUGCCCAAUCCUUCAACGGUAGCGGCCUGAAGAUCGCUGCAAGGCUGCAGAUACCAACGUUGGGUCUGUAGCUCAGUUAGUUAGAGCGCACCCCUGAUAAGGGUGAGGUCGGGGGUGCAACUCCUCCCAGACCCACCAUCCAACGAUGGGGCCAUAGCUCAGCUGGGAGAGCGCCUGCUUUGCAAGCAGGAGGUCACCGGUUCGAUCCCGGUUGGCUCCACCAGCUCCGCACCUGCCGAAGGACAACGAACACGGCGAUGUAAACAUCGCCUGUACAGCGUGGGCUCGGCGUAGCCCGCGUCGCUGUUUAACAAUCCGGAAGAUUCUUUUUUGAUUUGACGCUAAGUUUUCAAGCGAAAUUGUUUUUUAAUUCUCUUGAGAAUGUCGCGUUCGCAUAAAACGUGAGAGAUCAGCUCCAUCUAACCCGAAGACUCCUUGGGGUUAUAUGGUCAAGUGAAUAAGCGCAUAUGGCGGAUGCCUAGGCGGUAGAAGGCGAUGAGGGACGUGGGUGGCUGCGAAAAGCCACGGGGAGCUGUCUACCAAGCUUUGAUCCGUGGAUCACCGAAUGGGGAAACCCGG